rnacentral:rRNA from 1 species
UACGUAGGGGGCAAGCGUUGUCCGGAAUCAUUGGGCGUAAAGAGCGUGUAGGCGGUCCGGUCAGUCGGUUGUGAAAGUCAAGGGCUCAACCCUUGAAUGCCGGCCGAUACUGCCGGGCUAGAGUCCGGAAGAGGUGAGUGGAAUUCCUGGUGUAGCGGUGAAAUGCGUAGAUAUCUGGAGGAACACCGGUGGCGAAGGCGGCAUCCUGGACCGGCAUUGACGCUGAGGCGCGAAAGCCAGGGGAGCAAACGGG